UACGUAGGGUGCAGGCGUUAAUCGGAAUUACUGGGCGUAAAGCGUGCGCAGGCGGUCUUUUAAGUCAGAUGUGAAAUCCCCGGGCUUAACCUGGGAACUGCGUUUGAAACUGGAAGGCUAGAGUGCGGUAGGGGAGCGGGGAAUUCCUGGUGUAGCGGUGAAAUGCGCAGAUAUCGGGAGGAACACCAAUGGCGAAGGCAGCUCGCUGGGACGGUACUGACGCUGAGACGCGAAAGCGUGGGGAGCAAACAGG
rnacentral:rRNA from 1 species